rnacentral:lncRNA from 11 species
UAUAUACUAGGCAUGUCCGAUCGAUGAAAAAAAGUUUCAAUUCUCGUUUCUAAAGUAGGGGGUGCUGGCGCUUCGAUAUAGAAAGUAUUUCUGAUUUUUUCACCCAAAAAUUUCGGAUAUUUCCGAAAAUUCGUAAUGAUUCUAAAUGUUUCUAAAAUGGCGGACGCGCAUGCGCAAUCGCUACACACUGGGCUUGUAUGGCAAUCUUCCAUGUGGACGCAGAGGACGUUAGCCCCCACCUUUGCGUCCAUCGUGGAAGCUUCUGAUUGGCCGGGGAGCGGCAGCCAUGUUAGGCUACGCUAAGCUCCCAUUCAAGGUAGGUUGCAGAAACAAUUUUUUAAAAGUAUUUUUAAAAAUAUAUUUUAAAAAAUUUUAUGGGGGGAAAAAAAAUUAACGAAACAUUAAGAGACAAUGAGAGAAUGGGCCAACAAUGGUUCGAAUUACAUUGCUGGUUGCCUUGUGAGACAAUGUCUCGGAAUGCGUAUCAAAAAGCGAGAACAAUCCGAAAUAAUUCCGAUAUACAAUUCAAAACGAUUUUUUGGACAUGUCUACUAUAUAUAUAAAAGAGUGAUGGCAUCAUGGCGACCCACAAAACAACAAAACUACAGGCCCCCCAACCUCGAAAUUUGACAACACAACCCAUCAUCCACGCCUCUAGGUUGAUACAACAAAAAAGAAAAAUAAAGUCCUAAUUAGAGAGAGAGGAAUAAUUGCUUUUAUCCAAUUGCUGCCAGUUAGAAGGCUAAGCUCCUCCAACUUGGUCUUCUAGCAACCCAAUUAAAAAUAAUAAAAAACACUAAAAAAUUAAUACAAUAAAAUACUAUAAUAACAGAAAAUAACUAAAAAUAAUACAAGAAAAUAAUAAAAUAUAAUAAAUAAAAAUAUAACUUACAAUAAAAUUAAUAAAAAAAUGCAAAUAAAAAUUACACAACAAUUUUUAACCAAUACCACCACCACUUUGCCACAGCAACGCGUGGCCGGGCACAG